GAUCGAGAGCUAACUGGCACGAGGUAGUGCCCUUGGCUAGGAUGAGGCUCACUGAGCUGUAUCUCUUCAUAAUGCACUGCUGGAAGAUGCUCAGAAAGAGAAAUUCCUGGUUCUGAGUAGCAGCCACAGCUCUGUGCAUGGGGAGAUGCUGCAGCCCAUUGCUCUGUGCAGGGCCACACUGGGGGAACUUGGGGCUUUGUCCCCCCACCCCAUGGCACCUCUGGUGGAGCUGUGUGCUGGGCUGAGAGGAAGAAGAUAACAGUGGGGAUGGGGUUGGUGCCAGGGAAGUGCCAGGAGCCGGGCUGCAGCCUCUGCUUUUCCAGUGAGGGAUGGCAGCUGGUGACAUGGGAAAGCUCCAGGAGCUGCCACCGACAGCCACAGAAGUACUCUGUUCCCUGUGUUCUUUAGAAAUAACAGUGAACUGAGAAAUACAGCGAUCGGCCACACUUGUAAUGAACCCCAAUAGCAUCAUUCUGGGACUAUGCUGCUGUAAAGUGAGAUCAGCUGGAGGUGCCGGGGCCAGAAAGUUAUCAGGGAAGGAAGCAUUUUUGCAGCAGGAUGGGAGAAGGAAAGCCCCUGCCUGGGGAGAUGCACCAGGAGCGGAGAGACGGGAGGAGAGCGGCACACAUGGAGCAGCAGCUGCUCCCCCAGCACACGUCCCCCGGGCACUGAGGCAACAGUGGCGAGAGGCGGGCAUCAGCUGCGGAUCUCUGGCAUCGGAGAGGACUUCUCCUCUGGGGGCCGGCGUGGAAGCGGGGCCAGCUCUCAGAGCACUGAGCUGAGGAGGCCCAGCUGGGGCGAGAUGCAUGCACCGAGCUGGCAGGUCUCAGCCUGCUGCAGCCCCAAGCACAGGGCAGCUGAUGCUUGUAGGGAUGGCCAGGGAGGAGAAGUCCUCAGGAACUGGGCUUGCUGACAAAGAUAUGUGGCUGCCAGUGUGAAGGUCUGCUCAGCGUAGCUGUAUGCGU
rnacentral:lncRNA from 1 species